GACGAACGCUGGCGGCGUGCUUAACACAUGCAAGUCGAACGGAAAGGCCCUGCUUUUGUGGGGUGCUCGAGUGGCGAACGGGUGAGUAACACGUGAGUAACCUGCCCUUGACUUUGGGAUAACUUCAGGAAACUGGGGCGAAUACCGGAUAGGAGCUCCUGCUGCAUGGUGGGGGUUGGAAAGUUUCGGCGGUUGGGGAUGGACUCGCGGCUUAUCAGCUUGUUGGUGGAGUAGUGGCUUACCAAGGCUUUGACGGGUAGCCGGCCUGAGAGGGUGGCCGGCCACGUUGGGACUGUGAUACGGCCCAGACUCUAACGGGAGGCAGCAGUGGGGAAUAUUGCAUAAUGGGCGGAAGCCUGAAGCAGCGACGCCGCGGGGGGGAUGACGGCCUUCGGGUUGUAAACCGCUUUCGCCUGUGACGAAGCGUGAGUGACGGUAAUGGGUAAAGAAGCACCGGCUAACUAC
rnacentral:rRNA from 1 species